AGCGAACGCUGGCGGCAGGCUUAACACAUGCAAGUCGAGCGGGCGUAGCAAUACGUCAGCGGCAGACGGGUGAGUAACGCGUGGGAACGUACCUUUUGGUUCGGAACAACACAGGGAAACUUGUGCUAAUACCGGAUAAGCCCUUACGGGGAAGAUUUAUCGCCGAAAGAUCGGCCCGCGUCUGAUUAGCUAGUUGGUGAGGUAACGGCUCACCAAGGCGACGAUCAGUAGCUGGUCUGAGAGGAUGAUCAGCCACAUUGGGACUGAGACACGGCCCAAACUCCUACGGGAGGCAGCAGUGGGGGAAUAUUGGACAAUGGGGGCAACCCUGAUCCAGGCCAUGCCGCGUGAGUGAUGAAGGCCCUAGGGUUGUAAAGCUCUUUUGUGCGGGAAGAGUAAUGACGGUACCGCAAGAAUAAG
rnacentral:rRNA from 1 species